rnacentral:rRNA from 1 species
AUUGAACGCUGGCGGCAGGCCUAACACAUGCAAGUCGAGCGGAUGAAGGGAGCUUGCUCCUGGAUUCAGCGGCGGACGGGUGAGUAAUGCCUAGGAAUCUGCCUGGUAGUGGGGGAUAACGUCCGGAAACGGGCGCUAAUACCGCAUACGUCCUGAGGGAGAAAGUGGGGGAUCUUCGGACCUCACGCUAUCAGAUGAGCCUAGGUCGGAUUAGCUAGUUGGUGGGGUAAAGGCCUACCAAGGCGACGAUCCGUAACUGGUCUGAGAGGAUGAUCAGUCACCCGGGAAAGGGAAACCGGCCCAAACCCCUAGGGGGGGCAGCGGGGGGAAAUUUGGGAAAAUGGGCGAAAGCCUGAUCCACCCAUGCCGGGGGGGUGAAGAAGGUUUUCGGAUGGGAAAGCACUUUAAGUUGGGAGGAAGGGAAGUAAGUUAAUACCUUGCUGUUUUGACGUUCCCAACAGAAAAAGCACCGGCUAACUUCGU